rnacentral:piRNA from 1 species
UACUUAGAAAUGUGCCAAAAGUGC